GGGGAAUAUUGGACAAUGGGCGAAAGCCUGAUCCAGCAAUGCCGCGUGAGUGAUGCAGGCCUUAGGGUUGUAAAGCUCUUUUAUCCGGGAUGAUAAUGACAGUACCGGGAGAAUAAGCCCCGGCUACCUCCGGGCCAGCAGCCGAGGUAAUACGGAGGGGGCUAGCGUUGUUCGGAAUUACUGGGCGUAAAGCGCACGUAGGCGGCUUUGUAAGUUAGAGGUGAAAGCCCGGAGCUCAACUCCGGAACUGCCUUUAAGAAUGCAUCGCUUGAACAUCGGAGAGGUAAGUGGAAUUCCGAGUGUAGAGGUGAAAUUCGUAGAUAUUCGGAAGAACACCAGUGGCGAAGGCGACUUACUGGACGAUUGUUGACGCUGAGGUGCGAAAGCGUGGGGAGCAAA
rnacentral:rRNA from 1 species